UGUUUAACGAACUACUAUCUGCUGGUGAA
rnacentral:piRNA from 1 species